CAGGGCUUCUCCCAAUGACAACAGUGGUCGAUAUCAAGCUCCAACACGAUCAUGACGAAACAUCUCUCCUGCAGUGACACCGUGUUGCAAUAUUUUCACAGUAAAAGGAUGGAGGUUCUGGCUGCGUCGUCAUGGGAGAUGGCCUUCUCCAUCUGCCUCUGCUGUCAUUAGCCCAUCUCCAUCACGCUUUAUCGGAGGCCACCCCCCACCCUGCUGGACCCUCUUCAGCAUUCUGACAACCCCUGCCCCCUGCCCCAUACAUAAGGCUGAGAUGAUAAGUGUUCUCCCUCUUUGUGUCGGCCAGGAUAAGACAAUGCCACACAGCACUACAGAACAUCAUCCAUCUCAUAGGUCAUCAAUCUGGGACACAAAAGAUGAAAUGUAGCUCGAACUCCCUUUUGCAAAGGGGUUUCUCUUUGCUUAGAAGAAGCUCGUCGACAGUCUCUCUCUCGCCCCUUUUCACUGCUAGGUUGGUAGUUCACCAACAAAUUCUUCUGCAGUGCAUGCACAGGAGGAAAACAGUUAAUGCAGCUAAUUUGAGUAUUUCUUAAAAACACCAGCACGAAUUCCAGUUGCACAAAAAUAAAACCAGACAUUAUUUCAACAUCUACAGUGAUAGAUGAACUCUGUUUCAGUUCCUCUGCAGAGAAAAAAAAUAUCUUGUAGAUAAGAACGCUUGACUACAAACAGGCUGUUGAUCCACUUUAGUGUCCACUAAACUGACACACUAAAAGGCCUCUGCCAAAUUUAUAUGAAUUUCUUUGGUGGUAAAUACUAAUUAAAAGCCAUGUGUCACAUAAAUAACACCAUUUACCUUUUGUUUCUCUUCUUUUCUGCCUAAUUAGGUUUACAUUGUCUCAUCACCAGCAUGGGGCUUUUUGUCUUAAUGACAGCAAAGUCUUGGUUUAAGGUCUUCAAUUUAUUUACGUAUGAUAACCCACUGAGAUUAAUGUGAGGCCAAGAAUCAAAAUAGCAGAAAACACAAUAAAUGUUCUCAGAAUUAAAAUAAAACCCACAGACAUGGUCAUUGAUAUGAUGUAUGACAGUUUUACGACAUUUUGUCCCUCAGUGGGUUGAGUGUAAUCGGCCAUAUGAUUGUUACUCAUUUAUAUUGUUGAAAAUGUAGCUUCAAAAGUGACUUUUAGUUUUUGCAGCAGUCACACAGGCAUACAGAAUUUGUGAGCAAAAAAAAGUGUGUGUAUGAUAAUUGGAUUCUAGUGGACAACGGUUUCUCUACUCUCUGUUGUGCAGGUUUUAUCAUCUUUAGCCAUCAUAAGAGACAGAUAGCCGCCCAAAGUGUUUAAAAUCUUAAAUUAGGUUCAGAUUGGGUGUUCUUGCUUUGUUCUACAUAAUCUGAUGGCUGAUAAAUUAACAAACAGUAUGUAAAGCUAUAGGCAGUAUACUGGAAUAACAUGAUAUGAAGCUAGAUAUUUCCUUUGAUUUAGUUUAUUGUAACAUAAUAAUCUCUAAUCUGUUAAAUAGUAUACUGGUAUAAUUCUUUUGUUACAUUGUUUUAGCUGACUACAAUAAGCAUUUCUCCCCAAUUGUCAUCUUUUUCACACUAUAUAGCAUUGUUCCCCAAAUGUGUUCAUGUAAAUACCACUUUAAAGCUCCAAUAAUCAUCCAAAAAUAGUGUAACCUUAUCAAUCUUGAGGUAUUUUUUUUAAAGUAUUGCGAUAAGACAGUGCCAUGUUAUAUUUAUAUUAAGUCUGCUUCAUUCCUCUAGGAUUUUUAUUCCAGGGUGAGACAAAUGAGAACUUGAUUCCCAGGAUCUAAAUGCUCUGAUAUUUUGAAAAGAAUUUAAAAAACCAUCAACAUGGAUGUCACUUCAGACAAAAGAUGAGACAUAUUGUAGCAGCUUCAACGGCAACAACAAUAUGCCCCCCACUCCAUUUUAUGCAAAUGUUCUGUUAAACCGUUCUGCCAACAUUAUCAGGUUAACCUGAUAAUCUGCUGCCCGCGUCUGGGUCUUAGGGGCUUUACACACAAUCAAUAUGAUGAGCCCUGAACUGUCCGCAAAAUAAAGACACCGGUCAUGCCAUUACCACACCACUCCAAUCACACACGGUUGCAUUAUCAUUACCAUCAGGGCACGUGAUAUAGGCAGACAUUUAUGGCUUAUAUUUUUAAGAUCUUUGACUUUGAGGAAUAAGGCAUCCUUUGAUUCCAACAGGGUUCACAGUCACACUGACAUGUUAGCAAUUAAGAGCAUGUAAACAAUAUACUUGACUUACUUGUAGUAAUAUGAAGGCUUACAUUAGGUGAUUAGGUUUUAUGUUAUAGGUGGAGCGCAGACUCCAGGCAGAUGGUUGACCUCUAUGUUAGACUUUAGCUUGCUGUAAUAAGUUUAGACAGACUGGAGGCCUGAUCUUUCAGAAGGGAGCUGAACCAGUCCAAAAAGGAAUCAACCAGACCACCUCAGGUUAAUCUCACAACGACCUGAAAUGCCCAAGAGGGAUUACUGAUUUUAGCACACAAUGUCACUCACCACUGUUACCCUGACAUUUAAAAGUCACAAACAAAGUCGAAGAAUAUGCUUUUUAAGAGAAGGAUUAUUCUGUUGGAGAAAUAAUAUGCACGUCUUUCUGAUGAGAUGAGACACUUUUUGGACUUCACGUUACAUGCAGUCAGUUAUAUAUUUUGUUCUAUGAACAUGCAAAGAACGAGAUGAAAUUAUAGGUGCAGUGUGCACUGACAUUUGUCUGUACUGAUUCGAAUGAUUCAUAAACUGAUUCAGAGAUUCUUUUUAUAGGCUGUUUUGAUGUCACAUCUAAUCUGAAUUUAAAGGGUUAGGCUGCUCCAGUGACUUGGUCUCGCAUUUCCAUAAGACAGAUUUUAAAACUAAUGUCCUAAUUGAUGAAGCAGAGGCUUGAAUAUCCCGAGUUUUACAUAAAAAAAACCCUGCAUCCUGUACUUCUUGCAACACUACUGUCUUUAAAUAGAACUAUAUAUGUCUAGUUUGUGAUGCAGGGUUUCUGUUAAAGCUGUUGUCUCUUCCGGAGCCACACAAUACACUAUUGUGGAGGAUUAACUGUUUUCACCUUCCAUAUAUUUUCCUUAAAUAAUAAUUUUAUAUUUUCAUUUUUUUUGUCUAUAUAUUUCUGCUAUCUGUCUUUUUUUCUAUCUCCCUGUAAAGCUUUGUAACAGUGCUACAUAAAUAAAUUGUACCCACUUGCUUACUCAUAGAACUAGGGUUAUGAUGGAUAACCUUGAUUCUACAUCACACUUCAGGCUUCAUCCUCAAAAAGCAGGCUUAAAGGGGUUCACAGCCAGAUGCUCACAUUCCCUGUCGUGACACUAAAGUACAAUUCACACCAGAAUUGACACGUCAGCAACGCAUAAGCCCUAUGGAGGCAUCCAUCCGUUCAAUCCACACCACCACUGUUAUGGCUGUCACUGUCCUCAGAACCAUCUGUCCUUUCAGCACCUUGACAACAGCCAACCUUCACCAGAAACACUACCAAACCAAUUAGUCUAUUCAUUGGAAAGUGUAGAUAUUUUAAGAAUGUUGCGUCAGAAAUGUGUGGAAGUUUAUUUAUCAGUUCAUCUCCCAUUGAGGCUUUUUAUACCCAUAGAGAAACUGACUCAUCGCUGUAUGACGCACUAGUGGAAAUGUGUGUUAUUUGAACAGGCAUACAAACAGGACAUCACUUGGCAGAGGAAGGUCACAUUCAGUUUCAGGUAGCCUGAGUCAUUUAAGCUAUCGGACACUUAUUGCCACCAUGACAUCCCUUCCCAUGUGGUUUAGUGUCAAUUCACCUUCAUUUAUGUGACAACUCUCACAUGACUGCUAUGUGGUCCUAAUUACAUGUGACCAGGGUGUGAAUGACCAAAGAGGUUUAAAUGCCUGGGCCCUCAAACCAGCCAGAAGAACUGCUGAUGCCCUUUGGGUCUCUAUAUAUAGUCCAGUGGAGAGCUUCAGUUCAGCCCGACUCACUGAAUGAGAAGAGCAUUGUUGUGGUGGAGUACAGAAAAGCUGCCUGUCCAUGUGACGGUCAAGACAUCCCAACUCAAGGUCCACCGAUUAUCUUUUCCAGACCCUUUCACAGUCCUCAUCAGUGGAGUUGCCAUGGAGAUGGAACUGGGGCUCAGGGAGCUCACUAGUUGUUAUUAUUUUUCCCACAGCACUUUUAAGACUUCUCAAAUGUGUUGGCGACAAAGUUCGUUCUUCAGCUUGGAAAUAGCAAAACAAUCCCAACUCAAGGUCCACUUACUAGUUUGACUUAGAAUAUGGGGGACACCUUAUCCUCACUUGGGCUUUAGUCCACAGUAAUGUGAGGGAGACCUUGACUAGAAUUACUUGAUUACUAGAAGUGUUGGAUUUAAAGGUUUGAUUUGACCCGCAGCCCUCUUGGAUCAACAAAAUACUCAAAAUAACACUAAAACAUCCAAUGUACCCACAAACUGUACAUUUUUUAUAGUUUAACAUGUAGCUACAUAUCAUCAUCAUCAUCAUCAUCAUCAUCUGUAUACUGUAUAUAUACACAUAUACUAUACACAUCCACCUAUAAAAGAACUACAUUCAUAAAGUAACUACAUUAAUCACUCAAUAUUUAGUCCAGCACUCUUUGCACUCCGCACCAUUGCAAACUUCCAUUCUUGUUUACAAUUUACAGAAACAUAUUGACUUGCAUCUAGACAUUGUAUGUUAUUGGUUUUUAUAUAUAUACACAGAAACCUAUUUUUUCAUGUUCUUGUAUGCACAUUAGUUCUCCGUUUAUAUUUAGCCUACCGUAUCUUUGCCUAGCUUUGUUUUCCCUGCUUUUUUAACCUUAUCUCCAUUCCUGCCUUCCUGUAAACUGUAACAUUGAACUUAAAACUGGAACGUGUGUAUACGUGCAAAAUAAAAUAGAUUCAGAAAA